rnacentral:misc_RNA from 1 species
GAUGAAGAACGCAGCGAAAUGCGAUAAGUAAUGCGAAUUGCAGAAUCCGUGAGUCAUCGAAUCUUUGAACGCAGAUUGCGCCCUUUGGUAUUCCGAAGGGCAUGCCUGUUCGAGCGUCAUUAUCACCCCUCAAGCCCCGGCUUGGUGUUGGGCUCUCGGUGGUCGUCUCCGACCACCCGUCUCAAAGAUAGUGACGGCGUCCCAGAGGGAACCGGUACGAGGAGCUUUCACGAGCAUGUACGCGGGACGACUCUGCGGGCGACGGUCUUAUUUACUUUAUAUACAAGUGUUGACCUCGGAUCAGGUAGGAAUACCCGCUGAACUUAAGCAUAUCAAUAAGCGGAGGA